UGGUCCGGUCAGCAUACAAAGCAAUCUGCAAGCCGACAUUCUAAGGUUGAGGGAUGAAUCAUCCUAAGGGAUGAAAAUCCCGAAAAAAAGACAUUCUAAGGCAGCUGGUGGUUUGGCGAAACCAGAACGAUUGGUCAUCUCUUGGUAUCCGCGCAUACUGUUGUUCGUGGUGAAUUCAACGGUGGCUCAGGGCAACCUAACUCAGUUUGCGGACAUCGAAGGCUGGAAUUUCUAUCCGGACAAGAUUAGUUACGCUUUCGGAAGGUGAUUUUUCUGGUGAAGUGUCACUCAGCAAUGGUUCAACUGAACAGCUUUUUGGUUGCGACUCUGGUUGGCGAUUGAAUUACCAAGGUGUGGACUUGGGAGUUACGGAACAACGUUAUCAACUUGGUUGCGGUUUGGGCGACUGGGAAUGCUGCGAUUGGGUUCGAAGGGUUCGAACAAUAAAGCAAGGUUUUCGGUGGCGGUGGCGGUGGUCAAUCUACAACACCGGAAGUUAUCCGGUAAAAUUGGAAGCGACCAGCAAUGGUGCUGGCGGAAAGACAACACUCUUCGGAAAGGAAAGGUUCCAUCCACAAAAACCGCCAAAUGGGCCCUCUCAGAAGCCACCAGCUAGCCCAAAUGCCGGGAGAAUCAAACAGCUAACCAAAUCGAAGAAAAAAUGCCGAUGGAAACAACCAAACGACGAAAAAUCAGUUUUCAUGAAUAUUCAAUAAGUUGGGACGAUUGUCGCUUGGACAUUAGGCCGAAACCCGAUCAAUCACUACCACCGUACCCAAAUCCGAAGAAGAACACUCUCAUCAACAUAUGGCACUUUGAAGCACAUUGGCGGAAUUUCACAGACUGCUUUCGUCCCCAGCGAUUUCGGAACGAUCUUAAUUCCAACUACUUUCUGCAACCGAACACCUUCGAGGAAUUUGCUUACUGUCAACCGAAAACGAUGCACUCAAUUACGAUAUAUUCGCCCACGAAACCGUUUAAAAAGACUUCACUACAAUAACUGUCCUGCCUGAUCCUCCUGGAAACAUCACUCAACUUGCAUUUUCUUUUUGACGCAAAUUUUAAUUUCUAAACAGCCUAUGCCCCAAAGUACAGAAUAAGUAUAAAGAAAAAAAGGAGGAUUCGUGCCACCCGCUUCCGUCAACGUACGAUUCGAAACUGAAAACGAAGUUUCACGCUCCUCGAUCAAUCUGCUGCUGUUCGCUGCUGAAAUUCAAACGGGGAAAAAACUCAACUCAGCGUUGGAGAAUGUACGGAUUUCUCCGUAGAUCUUUGGAUUUUAAGCAUUCUACGGAGCUACGGAUCGAUUGGAUUUUCAUCAUUUCCUACGAAUUUUCUACGCUUUACCGAAAAAAUUAUAGGGAAAAUUCUACCUGGCGACCAAAUAAUAAGGUAAUCAACUUUUAUCUUGCCAAAAUCAGUACAUUUCUCGAUUUUCGUCAAACCUAAGGACUUGAGCGAUUUGCAAUCUAGCAACGCUGCUCGUGCUCAGCACGUAUAGUCGAGUAUAAAAUUGCUCUCAUCGCUCUCAGGGAUUCUCACUUGCCCUGCCGGUUCAAACCAAAACAAUCCCACCCACCUCUCGCCAACAGAUUUUUCCUUAUCAAUGAGUCCAUAUACCUAACGACGAGACCCACUGAGAAAAUCCAACUUGGCUCUAGUCCACCAACGGAUGCUGCCGCAUGGUUGAUGCCGGGCCGGGGCUAUCGCAGCAACAAAACCCCGUAGGUGCGUCAGAUGCAACAUCGCUCUCUCGUAAUUUAUUUCCCGAGAGCGCGGUAUACUCUCCGGCAACUGAUUUUUAAAUACCUCUUCGCAACGUUCCUAACGGGUGGUAACUAAAAAUUUAAUUUGGCAAGAUAUUGAAAAAAGUUGGAAUUAAGUGCCGAAGGGCGAAGACUACCUACCUACCUAAGGAUGAGAUAAAAGAUCUGCACUGCGAUCCGGAGCCAUCGUCUUCACUUGAUGCCAAGUUCUCGUCAACUGUGCGGAUUUCAGUGGCUAGACUACGCCGCCACGAGCUUCUGGGCCUGCCUCUUCUUCGAUGCUCAUCUGGUUUUCAGUCAAGCGCCUCUCUGCAUAUUUCGUUAUCAUCCCUUCGCAGCGUGUGCCCAAUCCUUCUCCACUUACGUUCCCGAUUUCUGGCGCCUUUUAAUUACAACGGCGAUGAAGUUCCAUGCAGCGUUACCACAUAUACAGAUUUUUCUGUAAGUAUACAGAUUUUUUGGAAAUUUUGUAACACAGAAUCUCUAUAUACAGAUUACAGAUAAUUGGAAAUUUAUACAGAUUUCAUACAGAUUUUCAGAAAAUCAGAGAUUUUCCAAGAUAUUUUGAUUAUACUUCGAGUCAAUCAAUAAUAAUCUACUUUGAUGAUUCAAUCAUUCAUUAUUUAUCACGCUUGCAAAUAAGAAAAAAAAACUUCCAGAUUAGAGUUUGGAACCGUUACUAUGCAAAACAACAUGCAAAGGGUUGAAGAAAGUUUUAAAACCUGUGUU